rnacentral:hammerhead_ribozyme from 1 species
GCACUGCUGAGGAGUCCCACAACAGAACGUAACGGCCGUCCAGUGC